rnacentral:tRNA from 1 species
AUCUUUCUAGUAUAACAUGUAUGAGUGACUUCCAAUCCCUUGGUCUUGGCUAAAACCCAAGGAAAGAUA